rnacentral:rRNA from 1 species
GACGAACGCUGGCGGCGUGCUUAACACAUGCAAGUCGAACGGAAAGGCCCUGCUUUUGUGGGGUGCUCGAGUGGCGAACGGGUGAGUAACACGUGAGUAACCUGCCCUUGACUUUGGGAUAACUUCAGGAAACUGGGGCUAAUACCGGAUAGGAGCUCCUGCUGCAUGGUGGGGGUUGGAAAGUUUCGGCGGUUGGGGAUGGACUCGCGGCUUAUCAGCUUGUUGGUGGGGUAGUGGCUUACCAAGGCUUUGACGGGUAGCCGGCCUGAGAGGGUGACCGGCCACAUGGGGACUGAGAUACGGACCAGAAUCCUACGGGAGGCAGCAGUGGGGAAUAUUGCACAAUGGGCGGAAGCCUGAUGCAGAAACGCCGCGUGCGGGAUGACGGCCUUCGGGUUGUAAACCGCUUUCGCCUGUGACGAAGCGUGAGUGACGGUAAUGGGUAAAGAAGCACCGGCUAACUACGUG